CUAAAUUUGGGGCUUUCCUGCUGUGCUGUGCACUCGGCCUCUCCCGCUUCUCUGGAACCCUACGGAAACCCACCUUGGGAAGUCUUCUCCCCUGGCGAAAGUCCAAUCUCCUCUCGGCGAUUCCGGGCAAUGCGAAGGAGGGCGAGCCGGAUCCGCGCCUUGGGAUUUGCCUGGCGACCGCGCAGGCUGGAGCGUCAGCGCGGAGGGAACGCGGAGGACUCUGCAUAUCCUUAGGGCACCAGCGAAGCAGAGGCGCCGGAAAAGGAGAGGUUUCCUAAAUAGCCUAGAGCAUAAGAUGCUGAAAAGUAGCUCCGUGAACACCAAAUGUCAUUCAUAUACUGGCUGCAAGGAGGUUUCCUUGUCUUCAAAGGACUUGUUUGAUGACUUGAAUUGUAGCUCCUAAAACUGAACACAACAUGCCAAACGAGCUCCUUGUAGACGAGAUUGCAGGGUGGACUGUCUUGAUAUGCCGUGGGACCAUAUUCAUCCAGUGCUUUACCAGCUGCACUGGCUCCUGGUGGAGUACAGGAUCAGAUUUAAGGUGCUGGUUUUGACCUUUAAAGCCCUAUGCGGCCUAGGAUCCUCAUACGUAUGGGACCGCCUCUCCUGGUAUGCCCCGCGGAGGACCUUAAGGUCCACAAAUAACAACACGUUGGAGAUCCCGAGCCAUAAGUGCUCAACUAGGGCCAGGGCCUUUUCAGUAUUGGCCCCAACUUGGUGGAAUGCUCUCUCACAGGAGACUAGGGCCCUGCGGGAUUUGACAUCUUUCUGCAGGGCCUGCAAGACGGAGCUGUUCCACCAGACCUUUGGCCUGGACUCAGUCUGACCCCUAUGUUUUCCUCCCUUAUGGUUUUUGACUUGGGCCUUUUUAAAAAUGAGGCUGCAUUUAAAAUUUUAAAUGUAAAUUGUAUUUUAACCUGUAUUUUAACUAAUUGUUUUUCUUUCUUUAUGUCUUAUUGUAAUUUUACUGGUGUCAGCCGCCCUGAGCCCGGUUUCAACUGGGGAGGGCGGGGUAUAAAUAUAUUAUUAUUAUUAUUAUUAUUAUUAUUAUUAUUAUUAUUAUUCCUCUAUUGAUAUCUUCUGUCUAAUGCAACCUGUAUAAUAAUUCACAGAUCCAUCUUAUGCAUUUUGACUCUUUCUUCUGUGUAAUAUCCUACAUUUAUCACUGUCUGCACUUUAUUAAAACAUAUUUUAGUACCAUGUCAUCUGGGGGGGGAAACACCAGAACCCGUGGAAAUCACACAGUAUUCUCCAACAUCAUGUCCUAGGAUUGAUUCCGCAGUGACUCAGAAAUUCCCCUAUUGAGACUUACUGAUGUGAUUGUACUGCUAUAGGAUUGGUCAGUUUGGAUGAUAUCUGUGGGACCCUUCCAGGCUUCUGAUCCUGUAUUUGUCCAACAGGUAGAUCGCGAUCCACUGGUAGAUCACGGGGUAUCUGGCUCCUCAAAAAAGCUCAACAAUUUUGCUUCAUCCAAUGGGUAGAUCACUUCCAGUUUUUUAUACUGUGAGUAGAUCACAGUUUAUUGGGAGCUGGACGUCCCUGUAGUAGAAGAACCAGUCACACCUGUCUCUUUGUGAGAUAAUGGCCUUAGCUGGCUAGUUAAGCAUGGCCAUUUACCUGUCCAAAGACUGAGCCCUGUUGUCAUAGAGACAAACGGGUGAAUUUUUUCUGACUUCACCUGGCUGGCUGGAGAACCAUAGGCCAAGCAGGGCUGUGUAGAUGUGAGCUUUAGUUGAUGCUAGAAGCUGGAUACACAGAGGCUUGUCUUGCUCUGUUCUGGGCCUUAUCUACAACUCAAGGUUCUCCCCAGGAACUAUGUGAAACUUUUUCUCCUCACUUCCUGCAGUCCAAAGCCUGCUCAAGCUUCCCUGUGGCUGCAAUGUACAUUUUAAAUACAUUAACUGUAUCCCUGCGAUUCAACAUUGU